rnacentral:rRNA from 1 species
GAUGAACGCUGGCGGCGUGCCUAAUACAUGCAAGUCGAGCGAACAGACGAGGAGCUUGCUCCUCUGACGUUAGCGGCGGACGGGUGAGUAACACGUGGAUAACCUACCUAUAAGACUGGGAUAACUUCGGGAAACCGGAGCUAAUACCGGAUAAUAUCCUGAACCGCAUGGUUCAAUAGUGAAAGACGGCUUUGCUGUCACUUAUAGAUGGAUCCGCGCCGCAUUAGCUAGUUGGUAGGGUAACGGCUUAGCAAGGCGACGAUGCGUAGGCGACGGGAGAGAGUGGUCGGCCACACGGGAACGGGAACGGGGUCAAGACUCCUGCGGGAGGCAGCAGUAGGGAAUCUUACGCAAUGGGCGAAAGCCUGACGGAACAACGCCGCGUGAGUGAUGAAGGUCUUCGGAUCGUAAAACUCUGUUAUGAGGUAAGAACAAAUGUGGAAUUAACUAUGCACGUCUUGACGGUACCUAAUCAGAAAGCCACGGCUAACUACGUG